UNUGACUUGAGUGCAGAAGGGGAGAGUGGAAUUCCAUGUGUAGCGGUGAAAUGCGUAGAUAUAUGGAGGAACACCAGUGGCGAAAGCGGCUCUCUGGUCUGUCACUGACGCUGAGGCUCGAAAGCGUGGGUAGCGAACAGGAUUAGAUACCCUGGUAGUCCACGCCGUAAACGAUGAGUGCUAGGUGUUAGGCCCUUUCCGGGGCUUAGUGCCGGAGCUAACGCAAUAAGCACUCCGCCUGGGGAGUACGACCGCAAGGUUGAAACUCAAAGGAAUUGACGGGGGCCCGCACAAGCGGUGGAGCAUGUGGUUUAAUUCGAAGCAACGCGAAGAACCUUACCAGGUCUUGACAUCCCGAUGCUAUUCUUAGAGAUAGGAAGUUACUUCGGUACAUCGGAGACAGGUGGUGCAUGGUUGUCGUCAGCUUGUGUCGUGAGAUGAUGGGUUAAGUCCCGCAACGAGCGCAACCCUUAUUGUUAGUUGCCAUCAUUAAGUUGGGCACUCUAGCGAGACUGCCGGUAAUAAACCGGAGGAAGGUGGGGAUGACGUCAAAUCAUCAUGCCCCUUAUGACCUGGGCUACACACGUGCUACAAUGGUCGGUACAACGAGUUGCGAGCCGGUGACGGCAAGCUAAUCUCUGAAAGCCGAUCUCAGUUCGGAUUGGAGGCUGCAACUCGCCUCCAUGAAGUCGGAAUCGCUAGUAAUCGCGGAUCAGCACGCCGCGGUGAAUACGUUCCCGGGCCUUGUACACACCGCCCGUCACACCACGAGAGUUUGUAACACCCGAAGUCGGUGAGGUAACCUUUUAGGGGCCAGCC
rnacentral:rRNA from 1 species